UACCCCCACCGGUCAGAGUCAGGCCCUGCAGCUGAGUACCCAGCUGUGAGAGCUCCCGACGCAAGGCCAGCUCCCGGCCAUCGAGGCUCUGAUGCAGGCGCUGGCUGGCUGCCUGGCCCUCUUCACACUGCUGCCGCACCUCUUGCACCCGAAGGUCACACUCACUCUGGACACCUUGCAGCUUCUGCUCGAAGCCAUCCAGCAGGCUCCCCCAGAGUCGCUGCAGCCGCUGGUCCACGUACUCCUCCAGCAGUGCCAAGGAGGAUUUCACUCAGAGGAGGGAUGCGUGGUCCUCUGCCUCUGCCUUCUGGGUCCGCAAGCCCCUCAGGGAUGACCCCAAAGCCUACAGGCGCCGAACACCGCCCUCCAGCUGUUCUAGCUGCUCACCAAACAGUCCUGGGCCCUUUCUUCCUAAGGAGGAAGAAAGAGCCCAGGAGCAUCGAAGGCCUGGCCCUCCAACAUCUUAUUCUCAUCCCUGGACACAGCUCCCUCACCUUUAAGACGGAGUCUGGGUGAGGAUGGCUGGGGCUUUACAGUCACGGCCCACAGGAGAUGCCACACGGAACUCUAUGAGAGCUUAGCCAGCCUGCAUCCCUUACCCCAUCCCCACCCACCCUGCCACUAAACCCAUGGAACCCAACCCUCCCCAGAGGACAUCCAUGGACAGACUCACCACGGGGGUGCGGGGCCUCUCUGCUGUAAGGAGAAGGCCUGGGACCUGGGCCCAGUUGCCCCAAGGGAAUCUGAGGCUCUGGCUCCUGGUGUGGUGGGGUGGCUCCGUGGUCUUCGAGGUGUUCUGGGCAGCCUUCCCCAGUAAGACCAGGGCAGCAGCGCCAGGCCAGGUCUGUCACAGCCUUGUAACCGAUCUUGUAUCUGGGUCUGAACACUGUGCGGUACCUGGAUCAGUGAGGUCAAGGGAACAGUCUUGUACUCCUGUCCCCCGGUGCUGGUGCCCCAGACAAUCCUUGGAUGUCCCCACUCCUAGGAAUUUCCCUUUCUGACCCUUAAAGUGGCAAAACCGUGCCGUAGAGCAGGCCUUCCUUACAGAGGCUCUGAGCCCUGGUCUUGAAGGACACAUAGGGAAGUCCCACCAUACCGCUUGCUUCAAGAGAAAGCUAGCAGAGAUUUAACCCCAAUCUUCCCAAGACUACCAGGUCCCCAUCUGCCAAGAGAAAUUCCAUUCUGGCUCUAAUGGAGCCCCUCAGAAUCCUAGCAAAGCUUUCAGCUCUCGAUCUGUAGAAGAAAUAUCUCACCAGGGCUGGGCUGGCAGCCCCUUUCACUGCCACGGGAUACUCUCGGCCCUUGCUGGCUUCCUUUCCCUCUUACCACCCCUCUCGAGCUUAGUCAGGGAGCUGAACUCUGCUCAGAGGCUGGCGUGAGGGCACUUCUGAUUGUGAGCAGGAAGGGAAGGCCAAAGGAGCAGGCACAGCUCACCAGAAACACCUCCUUUACCUGAUCAGCCGUGUUCCUGUUCACUCACUGUCACAAUGGGACACGGGUCUGUUCUCAGACACACACAUUUAAACUCUCCAAAUGCAGACUCAACUAUAUCUUGUGUCCCGGGCGGCCUGUCUGAUCUAUACUAGAACCUCUGGCUUCCACCUUCUCCUGGUCCAGACCCCUGCAGGAUCAACCUUUCCUUUCUUUCCCUCUACUCUGUUUCUGUCAUCUUCUAGCCCAGCCUCCCUCUUGUAUCCCUGAGGUUUCUGGGCCCCAAACUAAGUCUGUUCUUGUCUCUAUGGGGGAGGAUCUGUUGCAAGUUCAAAAUUUGGGGGUCUUUCAUGGCCUCUUUCAGGGAUCCUGGUCUGCUCUAGCAAGCACUGUGGCUCAGAUAGGUCCUUUGAAGCCCGGGGUACUACAGCGCCUUUGCAGAAAUGGUUCUGUUCCCAGCUGAAGGCAACACCCUGGGAUGUACUCACCUGACUGUUGAGGGGCAGUU